rnacentral:rRNA from 1 species
CCUACGGGGGGCAGCAGUGAGGAAUAUUGGUCAAUGGGCGCGAGCCUGAACCAGCCAAGUAGCGUGAAGGAUGACUGCCCUACGGGUUGUAAACUUCUUUUAUAAAGGAAUAAAGUGAGACACGCGUGCCUUUUUGUAUGUACUUUAUGAAUAAGGAUCGGCUAACUCCGUGCCAGCAGCCGCGGUAAUACGGAGGAUUCGAGCGUUAUCCGGAUUUAUUGGGUUUAAAGGGAGCGUAGGCGGGUUGUUAAGUCAGUUGUGAAAGUUUGAGGCUCAACCGUAAAAUUGCAUUUGAUACUGGCAGCCUAGAGUACAGUAGAGGUAGGCGGAAUGCGUGGUGUAGCGGUGAAAUGCUUAGAUAUCACGAAGAACUCCGAUUGCGAAGGCAGCCUGCUGGACUGUAACUGACGCUGAUGCACGAAAGUGUGGGUAGCAAACAGGAUUAGAUACCCUGGUAGUC